rnacentral:misc_RNA from 1 species
AGUCGUAACAAGGUUUCCGUAGGUGAACCUGCGGAAGGAUCAUUAACGAGUUCUGAAAGGGGUUGUAGCUGGCUUUUCCAGCAUGUGCUCGCCCUGUUCAAUCCACUCUACACCUGUGCACCAACUGUAGGCUUUUGGUGGGCUUGCUUUCCUUGUCCUUUACCGGGCGUUGAGGGCUUGUUAACCUUGGCUUGCGUUUUCAUACAAACCCUGUAAAAAGUAAAAAGAAUGUGUAUUGCGGUAUAACGCAUUUAUAAUACAACUUUCAGCAACGGAUCUCUUGGCUCUC